GCCCGGCUGGCUCAGCCAUUAGAGCAUAUGACUCUUGAUUUCAGGGUUGUGAGUUCGAGCCUCACGUCAGGUG
rnacentral:tRNA from 1 species